rnacentral:rRNA from 1 species
GUGAACUGCAGGACACACGAACAUCGACAUGUUGAACGCAAAUGGCGGCCCUAGGCGCAAGCUUUAGGCCACACCCGGUUGAGGGUCGU